rnacentral:lncRNA from 1 species
CUCAAGCCCAAGCUCAAGGCAGUCUGCAGUGUACCUAGCUGGUCCAAGCCCAAGGGGAGGCCCAGAGCCCCCUGACCAAACCUGCAGUGAGGACCCAAACCCUAGUCCAUGGGAGUCUGCAGUGUGCCUGACCAGUGUAAGCCCAGAGUAGGCCUGUAACCCUUGCCUAGAGCCCAAGUUCCUUUGACGCAUCCUUGCAUGGCAAAAGCUCAAUGAACUUUGAGAUUUGGGUUGUCCUACCUGGGGUGCUUUCCAGUUUAUCAACAUCUUCCUAAAAUGUGGUUCUCAGAAUUGAUUGCAGUGCUUCAGCAGUAGUCUGAGGAGGUACUAAGGGAAACAGAGCCAAGAGACUUGCUUAGGGAUUCUACUCUCAAGGCAUUCUACUGGGCAGUCAAUGGCUAUAUCCACAGAGGAAAUUGGGAAAACCUCUCUGAACCAAUGCAGAGUCAAGUGGGCCAACUAAGAGAAUAACUGCUUUAAAGAAAAUAACAACAUAGAACAAAGUAAAGAACAAUUUAUACAAUGAAAACAAUGUUAUAAACAACUUGAAAGUCU